CGGACGGGUGAGUAACGCGUGGGGAACCUGCCCUGUACAGGGGGAUAACACUUAGAAAUAGGUGCUAAUACCGCAUAAGCGCACAGUAUCGCAUGAUACAGUGUGAAAAACUCCGGUGGUACAGGAUGGACCCGCGUCUGAUUAGCUGGUUGGCGGGGUAACGGCCCACCAAGGCGACGAUCAGUAGCCGGCCUGAGAGGGUGAACGGCCACAUUGGGACUGAGACACGGCCCAAACUCCUACGGAAGGCAGCAG
rnacentral:rRNA from 1 species